rnacentral:lncRNA from 1 species
AAUACAUUUCGGAGGGAUAAUUGCACUGGGUAUUACACGAUACUAGAGAAUUCGUGUUAAUUUUCUUAUGUAUGAAAAUGGCAUUGCAGUUAUGUAGGCGAAUGACCUUAUUUUAGAGAUUAUAUCCUUAUUUUUAGCAGAUACAACUCUGAGACACAGUCAUUAUUCAGGAGUUAGGUGUCAUGAUGUCUGCAUCCCUUUAAAUUUUCAGAAAAAGAAGUAUAGAAAGAGCAAAUAUGGAAAACAUUAAUUUGAAUCUACCUGGUUGGUAAAUAGGUAUCCACUGUACUAUUUUUUCGAUUUUUAAAAUUCGUUUGAAAAUUUACAGUAAAAACUGAAAAUAACUAACGUAUCAUUUGAAAUGAUACGUUAGUAUCCUAACUCUAAAUUGCUUGGUUUAUACACACCCGCCAGAGAACAGAAAGCCACUGUUUCCGGAAGGUGGCAAGACAGCAGCAGAUGGCAGAGAAAACAGCUCUGUUUCCUCAAAUGAUUCUCCAACCAGCACAGAUAAACACAGCAAAGGGGGACUGCAGUCAAAGGUAGGUGAGGAUAGAGUAAGAGGGCACCCAGCUACUUUGCACAUGUUCCUGUGUCCAGGUCCUGGCAACCUCUACCUGGGUUGUUAAAGGAGCAUGCAUAUGAACCAAAAACACACUGGUACCUGUCCCCUAGGCAGUGUGGCAAAGAGAAGAGGGAGGCUAGCAUAUUACAGACAUGCAGAUGUCCCAAUUUUCAAAAGGGGGUAAAGUGUUACAUACUCAGAGAACACAGUGAUUUAAAACUUAUGUUUCUGCAUCCUUUGAAACCAUCUUGUCGUUCACUCUAGGGAUUUAUGUGGUGGACAUGCCCUAGUACAUUUCCUAAUGACAGACUCUAAUGUCAAAAAGCCUGCUCAUGUGACACUUACAGCUGCCCCCAAAUUUACCCUUCCGUGUCUCAGUUUCCUAACUUUUUCCUCCCAACACAGGAAUCAAAUUCCCAUCUCAUAGGCUCCCCAUGAGAAACAAAUGAAAUAACAUUUGUAAAGAGCCUAGUACUAAGCCUGUUACUGGGGAGGCACCCAAUAAGUGGUAGUCACAGUUACCACUAGAAUCAACGUGUUUGACUGUAUGUCUUAUGAUAAUCUUCUAGCCCAGACGGAAAAAUUAGGGGCCGUUUGUCAAAACAGUUAAGCUUAUUCCCAUCUAGUUAAAAAACCGUACCUCAAGAGGGUUGAUAAAUGGAUCGAUGUCAACCUAGAAAGAGGUCGCAAUUGUUCCAGUAAUUUGUCUUAAUCCUUCUUUCAACUCCUACUUUUAUAUACGACUGGAAUGAACACCUAAAAGUGAGCUGUCAAAAUAUGGAUGACAAAAAAAUUGCAGACAACUGAUAUACGAGAGGAGAGAUCACUAAAGCAGGAAGAUAAGAUCUAUCCAAGCAACAUUGCAAGCAAGCAAGGCAGUCUGUUUGCUCUUUCAAAGAAAGCCUUGGAGAAACAGCAACCCUAUUGUCUAAGAAAGAGAACAAGAAUGAUUUCCGAACACGACUGGUCAAACAUGCUACCCUUCAGAGUGUGUGUCUAUAUAUGUAUGUAAAAUCCAAGUGUCUCGUUUACUGCAAAACAACCUUUAUCCUGAAGAACACUUCAGCUCAAGAAAAUGCUCUUUAAAAUGUCUAAUUCCCUACUGUGAUUUCCUUUAAAGUUCUAAUUAGUUGUGCACCAUAAUGAAUUCUGUAAAUUGCAGUGUGUCAUUUAAAACUUUUAAAGUACAGAAGGCUCUAAUAAUGAGUUUUGCCAAAAUCAGUCUUUGAAGAAAGUAAUUUUGACAUGUAGGUUUCAUAUUUUUGGAGAUGUCUUACAUUUUAGAUACAAUCACAAUGUUGAGUCGCAAAUUAAUAUUUGUUGCUUAAUGCCAUCAAAAUGUCAGAUUAAUGAGUAAUUAACAACGUUUGUACAUAAUGUGAUUUCCUUCUUUCUGCAAAGGCCAAAAGCAUAAUGGAGAAUUCAAGUCAAGAAACAUCUUUCAACAAAUACAUUUUCUGAGUUCUCCUUUUAAAUAACUUACUACCAGGUCUAUAACUGUCUUCUUUUAAUGGUCAGCAAACAGCUGGGUUUCCAGAUAACAUGGAGAACAUAAAAUAUUCAUGUUAUUUAAGCGAUUUCUAUAUUUUACUCAUGUUCUUUUAUUUGCUGGUCUUGAAGGGGAAAGAAACCAUGGCCACUGCCUGCUCCCACCUCCUUUUAAAGGAAAGAUUUAUUCCCUUCUACAACCUCUACCUGCUAUGCCCUGCUUUAGGACUACUUUAAGCUACUCUGUAUCCCAUACCUAUUUUUCAAUCUUUCCUUCCCUUCUUGGAUUUAAUUGAAACGUGACUCUCUCUAAGCAUACUGUCCACGUUCCCACCUUCCUCAGAAGAGGCAAGAGCUGCCCUCUGUUUGGUCAGUGUCAGCCUUGGCCUUCCCCUGGACACAUCCUCUCUCCAUGUCCCCAGUCUGACCACGCCCACAGCGCCAUUCCACUCCAUUCAGCUCCUCCUCUUGCACUGGGACCAUUUAUCCCUCUGUUGUCUAUUGCCGGCCUUCCCUUUCCAUUCCAAGGCUCAGGAUUAAGGAAUUGGAAGCCACCCUCUCCACAGCCCAGCCUCCUGCACUGCUAGCAUUUUCCUAAACCCCUCAAGCCAAUUCCUGGCCUCAGACCAUUCCCACCAUCCACUCUAUCCAUUCCUCUGCCUGGGUCACAGAUCACUGAGACGGAGAGAAGACAAAUCUUUGUGAAGCUGCCUUAUUACUGAUUCAAACACCACCAACUUUGAGAAGCAUGGAUGGUGCUCAGACACGCUUCACGCAUGCCUCCUCGUCUUCCUGACCCAGACCCCACAGGAACUAUUCUGUUUCCCAGUCUGCUUAAGUUCUCCUUAGUUCCCAGCCCUGUCUCACUGGGGGGCCUUGCUCCUGCACCAUGCGAAGGAGAGCCCUCUGGAGAGUGUGGACCCAGCCAGGGUCCCUUCACUGCCUCUCGCCCACCCCACAGCCCAACACACCUGUUCCUUUUCCCCUCCCAUAACUCAUUUAUAAUUCCCAAUAUGAAUAACAUCUCUAGCCAAAACCCAAGGCAGCUGUGUAUUUCUUUCUACUUGCAUGUUUUGCAGUGAUGGACUUCCGAAGACUACCAUGUCUCAAACUGUCUCCUUUCUCAGCAGUCCCAUUCUUGCCACUCAUGCUAUGUAUUACUUUUUAAAAAUUACAGACAGGAUCUCGUUUUGUUGCCCAGGCUGGCCUUGAACUCCUGGGCUCAGGCGAACCUGUCUCCUCAGCCUCCCAAGUAGCUGGGACUGCAGGCACAUGUCACCACGCCCAGUAUUACUUUUUAAUUUCAAUUUAAAGUGCACUAAAAUAAAAAUCCUGAGCAAGUUAAGUGUCCAGUGUCCACCUGUGCCUGCAAAUUAAUGUAAAAGUAAAUGAAACCACAAGGGAGAUUCCUUGCAUUUUAUCAAUGAUACUAAUUUUGGGGCACAUACAAAAAGAGGUACUCCCUAGACCCAUAUAACAUGCCAGAAAACCUGUUAUCCAAUCUCCCCAUUACUGAUCUUCAAGAAAUAGCUGGCCCUCGCUUUCUCAGCAAACAGUCUAAUCGGUAAGUGGAACUCUGGGUGUUAAAUCACCUUGCCUCCAUGGCAUUGCAGGUGGCUCUGGCAGUUGCAUAGUCCAGCACGUCCUUGAUUUCCCACGCAGAACACAGAGGAAUGUACACAAAAGCACUGGUAAGCAAAAUAGCUCCCAAACAGCUCUCGAAGGCUUAAACUGCCACUAACACUAAACAUCCUGAAUCAGGGGGCCUAUCUAAGGAGCAAAUUCCCUGCCUACCCAGGGAAUACACCACCCAGCUGGCGUAUUUUAAGAAGCUGAACAGUGGGCGCAUCUUUAUCUUGCUCUGGAGCCUCACAAGGGCUCAACACAUCGCACUUCCCAUGCUCAAUCUCUGCAGACCCUGUUGCCCAAGUCUGUUUUCUGUGUCAAGUCCCCAGUCUAGGACAUACUCUCAAAUCUGCUAAUAUUACCACUUAAGAAGCACAUUCUUGAUGCUUUUUUACAGAUGACAUUUAAAAAAACAUCAGAGAAUGGUUGUUACUUUUUUCUUAACUUGGCUAUCUGAAGGUGAACCCCAACUCUGCCUAUAGAAGCUGUUCCCAGAGAAAAUCUGGGACUGCAGUGAAGGCACAUGGGUUGCCACAAGCUCCAGCGUUACCAAAAUCUCCCUACCCACUCACCUCCUUAGCUCCCACCCUUUCCACUAUUCUCACACAGUUAGCAGCACCCAAGAGAACUUUGGGAAAACAGCCCUUUUUCACCAUCAGAACCUCAACUCAAUGACGGGUAAGGUCUUGUUCCCAUAGCCCUGUAGCUCAGGUACUGUUCUCCCUUGCCUGAUCCAGUGUGCCCCAGUGAUGAGUGGGAGGAAAAACAGGAACCGUCUGCUACUCAGGAUCAUAGGGUGCUUUCUUCUUCUUGGUAUGGAUUACUGCAAUAAAAUGAGCUUCUUCCAAG